rnacentral:lncRNA from 1 species
CCCGCUUGAAACGCUUGCACCUGUUCGUAUUUGUUAGAACUAAGCUGAACAUGCACACAACCAGGGCAGGUAGCUCAGUGGUAGAGCACCUGGCACCGGUGUAGGAGGUCCUGGGUUCAAUCCCCGGCCUGUCCAGAUCCAUUUUCCAACAUGGUAUCGGAGCUAUGGUUGGAUGGCCUGUGGUAGGCAUGGACUGGGCAGGUAGGGAUGUGUGGUGUGUUCAGCUUAGGGGGGAGUGUUAGAACUAAGCUGAACAUGCACACAACCAGGGCAGGUAGCUCAGUGGUAGAGCACCUGGCACCGGUGUAGGAGGUCCUGGGUUCAAUCCCCGGCCUGUCCAGAUCCAUUUUCCAACAGUAUUGACAAACCCAGAACACGGAACUGCUUUCUCAAGAGCUAAUUCUUCAGGCUCAGGAAGCCUCAAUUUAUCAACAAAUGCCAACGUUCCAUCAAGUUCUGCAAAGUUCUGCAAAGUUACUGACACUCAC